GGUAAGAACAGCAGUGAGGAGACCCAGGUAGGAGGGGGUAAGAACAGUGAGGAGACCCAGGUAGGAGGGGGUAAGAACAGUGAGGAGACCCAGGUAGGAGGGGGUAAGAACAGUGAGGAGACCCAGGUAGGAGGAGGUAAGAACAGUGAGGAGACCCAGGUAGGAGGGGGUAAGAACAGUGAGGAGACCCAGGUAGGAGGGGGUAAGAACAGCAGUGAGGAGACCCAGGUAGGAGGGGGUAAGAACAGUGAGGAGACCCAGGUAGGAGGGGGUAAGAACAGCAGUGAGGAGACCCAGGUAGGAGGGGGUAAGAACAGUAGCCCAACGGGGAUACGAGGGGAACCCCCAGUAGGGGGUCAUUACAGC
ensembl:lncRNA